AAACCAACAGGGAUUGCCCCAGUAACGGCGAGUGAAGCGGCAACAGCUCAAAUUUGAAAUCUGGCCCCAGGCCCGAGUUGUAAUUUGCAGAGGAUGCUUUUGGCGCGGUGCCUUCCGAGUUCCCUGGAACGGGACGCCAUAGAGGGUGAGAGCCCCGUACGGUUGGACACCAAGCCUUUGUAAAGCUCCUUCGACGAGUCGAGUAGUUUGGGAAUGCUGCUCUAAAUGGGAGGUACAUUUCUUCUAAAGCUAAAUAUUGGCCAGAGACCGAUAGCGCACAAGUAGAGUGAUCGAAAGAUGAAAAGCACUUUGAAAAGAGGGUUAAACAGCACGUGAAAUUGUUAAAAGGGAAGCGCUUGUGACCAGACUUGCGUCCGGUGAAUCACCCAGCUCUCGCGGCUGGGGCACUUCGCCGGCACAGGCCAGCAUCAGCUUGCCGUCGGGGACAAAAGCUUCAGGAACGUGGCUCCUCUCGGGGAGUGUUAUAGCCUGUUGCACAAUACCCUUCGGCGGGCUGAGGUACGCGCUCCGCAAGGAUGCUGGCGUAAUG
rnacentral:rRNA from 1 species